GAAAUGCGAUAAGUAAUGUGAAUUGCAGAAUUCAGUGAAUCAUCGAAUCUUUGAACGCACAUUGCGCCCGCCAGUAUUCUGGCGGGCAUGCCUGUUCGAGCGUCAUUACCACCCUCAGGCCCCCGGGCCUGGCGUUGGGGAUCGGCGGAAGCCCCCUGCGGGCACAACGCCGUCCCCCAAAUACAGUGGCGGUCCCGCCGCAGCUUCCAUUGCGUAGUAGCUAACACCUCGCAACUGGAGAGCGGCGCGGCCACGCCGUAAAACACCCAACUUCUGAAUGUUGACCUCGAAUCAGGUAGGAAUACCCGCUGAACUUAAGC
rnacentral:misc_RNA from 1 species